CCUACAUGAAGCUGGAAUUGCUAGUAAUCACAGGUCAGCAUACUGUGGUGAAUACGUUCCCGGGCCUUGUACACACCGCCCGUCACACCAUGAGAGUUGAGAAUACCCGAAGCCCACGUCAAAGUGGUCGAAGGUAGGCUUGAUGAUUGGGGUGAAGUCGUAACAAGGUAUC
rnacentral:rRNA from 1 species